rnacentral:rRNA from 1 species
CCUACGGGAGGCAGCAGUGGGGGAUAUUGCACAAUGGGGGGAACCCUGAUGCAGCGACGCCGCGGGGGUGAAGAAGCGCCUCGGCGCGUAAAGCCCUGUCAGCAGGGAAGAAAAUGACGGUACCUGAAGAAGAAGCCCCGGCUAACUACGUGCCAGCAGCCGCGGUAAUACGUAGGGGGCAAGCGUAAUCCGGAUUUACUGGGAGUAAAGGGGGCGCAGACGGCGAUGCAAGCCAGGAGUGGAAGCCCGGGGCCCAACCCCGGGACUGCUCUUGGCACUGCGUGGCUGGAGUGCGGGAGGGGCAUGCGGAAUUCCUGGUGUAGCGGUGAGAUGCGUAGAUAUCAGGAGGAACACCGGUGGCGAAGGCGGCCUGCUGGACUGCAACUGACGUUGAGGCCCGAAAGCGUGGGGAGCAAACAGGAUUAGAUACCCUUGUAG